rnacentral:misc_RNA from 1 species
UAAAUUCAUGGGCAAAAUCGAGCAUUUAGCUUUUAACAAGCUAAUUAUUUCCAUUCGUGGCUUUAAUUCCCAGGUUAAAAGGGGAAUAGUGAUUCCCUUAGUUGUGUGAAUCGAAUUCCCUAGUUUGUGGGAAUGAGAAUGAAAAAAACGAGUUUCUAAACACCCACAAAGGGAAUCAUUCCGUUUCCUGGGUCAAUUUUUGGUGAAUCAAACAAACCUAGAUUGUUUUACACAUCAAAAUGUCUAGUUAAAUUAAUGUUGCAAU